CAGAGGAACUUAACUUUUUAAUGCAUUUGUUUGUUCUGAAAUAAAUUGAUAAAAGUCAUAAAGCAGUACAGAUGCUCACAUACCCUAUAGUGUGAAGGGAUAAAAUAUGCACUUUGUAUGUGUAGCCUUGAUUUUUAGAGUGACAGUAUUCCCUGGAUGUUUAACUGUUUAAACUGUGGGUUCCCUCCCCCAAGCCAUUACAGGGAAGGUAGAAUAUCACCUCAACACCAAGUCAACCGUUUUCUUAGCGUAAGGUGUGUGUAUGUUUAUGUGAGAGAUCUUUGUGGUGUGCUUGGCCUCUUUAGCCCUGAUUAAACAGCUGUGGCGUGUUCCCCUUGGGCUGGGGGCAGGCGCAUUGACCCGGAUCGUGUCGGAAGUUCAGGAGUUGAGCUGGAUUUUAGUUGGGGCGUCAGGGGGACCCGCAGGGCGGCCAGUCUUCACUGAGGCCUAAUAACUCAUAGCAGAUGUGCUCAGCAGAGUGGAGACAUGAAUGCAAAAAGGAUCCCUGGGAAAAUGGCAGACAGGCAGGCCGGAGCACUCAGACACAAAAUCACAACCAGACCCGUCGCCAAGUGCAGAGAGAGAGCCUCCGUCCAACCUAACCCUGCCACCCAGGGAAGCCAAUGCCCAGAGAGAGAAAGCUCUGCCCUGGGGCAACACACAAACAAGCUCACACACAGCUUCCACAUGGCCCACAGAGGAAGGUCAUGGCUUUGGCAGAUUAUGAAAUGUGAUGCGUGCACUACCAUUCAGCAGUGUUGAAUUGUUUUUAUGUUUUUAAUAAAUGUUAUUUUGUUUUAAUAUAGCAGCUUGAAAAGUACAGUUUAGUGCAGUACACUAGACACCAUGUGAUGUAUUAUACCAUUUAGCAUAUCAAGUCUUGUUAAAAUGAUGAAUAAUAUAUGUAAUAUAUAACUGUCAUUUUCUCUGCCUUAAAGCAGCACUAGGUAGGAUUUUCUUGAUUUUUGAUCUUUUUAAAGUGAUAAAAAUUACAGCUUGAAACUCACUGCAGCGCUGCAUUGAGGUGUAAUAGGAGGAAUAGCGGUGCUCUCGUGCCGGAGCUCCUCUGAGCUCAAACCAGACUCUGUAAGUUUUCCGAGGCGGCCGCGACCAACGCUCACGAGAACUGCGCCCUGCUUUCCGACCUUUAGUUCUAACAGUUCUACAAGGACUACUGGUUAUUUUUUUACAAACUAACAUACAGACACUCUGGCAGAAGCUGGAAAGAGACCAAAUAUGUCUGUGAAAGCCAGAAAACUAGAAAGAGAAACUAAUCCGCCUGAAACAUUUAUUACGAUCUACAACUGUAGGGGGAGCCCACGAGCACAAAAACUCAAUCCUACCUAGUGGAGCUUUAAUAUUUGCUAUCUUGAUAAUUUGUUUUAUUGACAGCAGUCAUCUAAGACCACAGUUUGGUGAUCCCCACGAUUAAAUGCUGGUGUAUAUAAAAUUGAUCAAAUUUG